GGAGGCAGAACUCAGAUGAUAGAGUGUGAGCCUAACAUGCACACAGCCCUGGGUUCAACUCCCAGUUCCUCAC
rnacentral:tRNA from 1 species